rnacentral:rRNA from 1 species
GUUGAUCCUGCGGGAGGUCGCUGCUGUCAGAAUUCGACUUAACUAAGCUAGUUCAGGGGCUCUUCGGAGCACCGGCAGACAGUUCCAUAACACGUCGAUAAUCUAACCUUGCGUCAGGGAUAGCCUUGGGAAACUGAGGGUAACACCAGAUAUGAGAAAAAUACUGGAAUGUAUUUUCUUUCAAAGGCAACGCGCAAGGAUGAGUCGGCGUCCGAUUAGAUUGUUGGUGGGGUAACGGCCCACCAAGUCAAAGAUCGGUAGGGGCCUUGGGAGAGGUAGCCUCGAGGAGGACACUGAGAUAAGGGUCCUGACUCUACGGAGUAUAGCAAGUGCGAAAACUUUACAAUACACGAAAGUGUGAUAAGGGGAUUCUGAGUGCUUAUGCUCUGCAUAAGCUUUUGCCAAGUGUAAAAAGCUUGGAGAAUAAGUGGUGGGCAAGACUGGUGCCAGCAGCCGCGGUAACACCAGCGCCACAAGUGGGGGCCAGCAUUAUUGGGCUUAAAGCGUUCGUAGUCGGUUUGGUAAAUCUUUUGUGAAAUUGUUGGGCUCAACCCAACGUCGUGCAGAAGACACUUCCAGACUAGAGACCGGGAGGGGUUAUGAAGUAUUUGCGGGGUAGCGGUAAAAUGCUAUAAUCCCGUGAGGACUACCAGUAGCGAAGGCGUCUAACCAGAACGGGUCUGACGAUGAGGAACGAAAGCCAGGGGAGCGAACCGGAUUAGAUACCCGAGUAGUCCUGGCCGUAAACGCUGCGAGUUAGGUGUUGCAUAUUCUCCGUGAAUAUGCAGUGUCGGAGCGAAAGCGUUAAACUCGCCGCCUGGGAAGUACGGUCGCAAGACUGAAACUUAAAGGAAUUGGCGGGGGAGCACAACAAGGGGUGCGGCGUGCGGUUUAAUCCAACUCAACGCGGAGAAUCUCACCAGAGGCGACGGCAGGAUGAAGGUCAGCCUGAAGGGCUUACCCAACGAGCCGAGAGGUGGUGCAUGGCCGUCGUCAGCUCGUGCCGUGAGGUGUCCUGUUAAGUCAGGCAACGAGCGAGACCUGUACCUACAAUUGCCAGCAACACUUUAUGUGGAUUGGGCACAUUGUAGGGACUGCCUUGGAAACAAGGAGGAAGGUGCAGGCAACGGUAGGUCUGUAUGCCCCGAAUCCUCUGGGCUACACGCGCGCAACAAUGGUAAGGACAAAAGGAUACGACUCCGAAAGGAGAAGUUAACCCUCUAAACCUUAUCUCAGUCCAGGUUGAGGAUUGUAACUCAUCCUCAUGACGCUGGAAUCCCUAGUAAUCAGAUUUUAGCAUAAUCUGGUGAAUAUGUCCCUGCUCCUUGCACACACCGCCCGUCAAACCAACCGAGCAGGGUUUUGGUAAACGCAAUUCUUUAAAUUGUGUGAAUCAGAGCUCAGUGAGGUGGGUUAAGUCGUCACAAGGUA